rnacentral:tRNA from 2 species
GGUGGGGUGGCAGAGUGGUCAAAUGCGACGGUUUCGAAAACCGUUUCCGGUUUACCGGAGCGCGAGUUCGAGUCUCGCCCCCACCGCCA